UUUACGGGAGGCAGCAGUGGGGAAUUUUCCGCAAUGGGCGCAAGCCUGACGGAGCAAUACCGCGUGAGGGAAGACUGCCUAUGGGUUGUAAACCUCUUUUUUCAGGGAGGAAUAAAAUGACGUGUACCUGAAGAAUAAGCAUCGGCUAACUCCGUGCCAGCAGCCGCGGUAAU
rnacentral:rRNA from 1 species